AACUUUCAACAACGGAUCUCUUGGCUCUCGCAUCGAUGAAGAACGCAGCGAAAUGCGAUAAGUAAUGUGAAUUGCAGAUUUUCAGUGAAUCAUCGAAUCUUUGAACGCACCUUGCGCCCCUUGGUAUUCCGAGGGGCAUGCCUGUUUGAGUGUCAUU
rnacentral:rRNA from 4 species